rnacentral:tRNA from 1 species
UCCCUGGUGGCUCAGACGGCAAAGUGUCUGCCUUCAAUGCGGGAGACCCGGGUUCGAUUCCUGGCUCAGGAA